UCCCCAGACUCCUACGGGAGGCAGCAGUGGGGAAUAUUGCACAAUGGGGGAAACCCUGAUGCAGCAACGCCGCGUGAGUGAAGAAGUCAUUCGUGAUGUAAAGCUCUAUCAGCAGGGAAGAAAAUGACGGUACCUGAGUAAGAAGCCCCGGCUAACUACGUGCCAGCAGCCGCGGUAAUACGUAGGGGGCAAGCGUUAUCCGGAUUUACUGGGUGUAAAGGGAGCGUAGACGGCCAGACAAGUCUGAAGUGAAAAUCCAGCGCUUAACGUUGGAAGUGCUUUGGAAACUGCCGGGCUGGAGUGCAGGAGGGGCAGGCGGAAUUCCUAGUGUAGCGGUGAAAUGCGUAGAUAUCUGGAGGAACAUCAGUGGCGAAGGCGACUAUCUGGUACAUAACUGACGCUGAGGAGCGAAAGCGUGGGUAGCAAACAGGAUUAGAUACCCGAGUA
rnacentral:rRNA from 1 species